UGUUGAGAUGGCCGAGUUGGUCUAAGGCGCCCGAUUAAGGUUCUGGUCUAAAUGGGUGUGGGUUCAAAUCCCGCUCUCAACAU
rnacentral:tRNA from 1 species